AUAAUAACCCUAGAGCCCAGAUACAUCUCAUUCAUACAAUGGCGGAGGCCAAUCAGACGCGAUUGUCUUCAUCCGUACAUCACAGUACGGUGACACGGAGAUAACUCAAAAAGAAACCAAGACGCAAGGUAACAAUCUGCGUCUCUCGUGACUUGGCGCAAACUCCUGUUCCAUCUUGUGAUCAUCAGCAGAAUCUGCGAUUCUCAACUUAUGAAACCCUGCUUUAUUCAUUUUUUUUCUUGCAUCUUGCAAAUAUUCUCCGUUUGGUCACCGAGAAAAAUGUAGGAAAUGAAAGAAUUCGAAUCUUUCUUUCUUCCGUUCUUCCUUUUUAAGACUUUCCAUAUUUAAUAAUCUCUGCGUGUUUGGCUACCAAAUAAAUGUAGGCAAAUGAAAUAAAUCAAAUUCUUUUUAUCGGAGAAGCUUGGAGGUUGGCGCUGAUGUCAUGCGCUAAAUGACUCGCUCCGCUGUAGAAUAUGGAUGAUGGCAAUGAUCAGAUUACUGACUUUUAACUCCUUCAAUCAUUUGCUUCAGAUGGUAUGAUGGAUUGUCUCUUAAAGAAUACCGACAGGAAAAUAUUACAUAUGAGCUGGACUCUUGUGACCCAUGCAACAAAUCAUCCAUCCUGGCUUGGACCCUCUCAAUAGAAUGCUGUUCCCUUGUAUGGGAUGCUAUGUUAGAUCACACAGUUGCACCCAAGACUAAAUGAUUAGUCUUACUCCAUUAAGUUAUAGUGUUAUACAGUACAUAAUGCUCAAAGCUAUGGUUCAGGUACGUCCGUAAGUCCUUGGUUGUUCCGGAUUCCAGUGGUGAGCUGGAAAGGGGCCAUCCAUCUCUCAGUAAUUUCAGUAGCUUUCAUGGUUGCUUUCAAUCUUGUCAAUUUAAUUCCAUCACAUCGUUUUCUUGUUGGUUCAUGAUGCUCAUUACAAAAGUGCAAAAGUGCAGAUUAGGUUCCAAAUAUACUCUUAAUCUCUUUGAGACACGGGAAAUCUGGAAGUUGUUUUUACUUUUUUAUCUCUUUGAAACAGGUCCAUGGACAAAACCCUCUGUUUUUAUUGUUUUCAUGAUGUGCUUGCUAUAGGCCUUUGGCGGUGAAGGAUUGAUUUCAUGGAAAUUGUUUGAGCAGCUGAUGUCUAGCUUUUUCAAGUAAACUGAAACAUGUUAAUUGUUGUCAGUCCAUUUUCCGGGUCUGAUGCUUUUAUGGUUUUAUGUUCAAUCAACAUCACAGCAAUAAUCGCUACUUUAUUUUGUUUUACCCGAUGAUAAAAGUCAUGUAGUUCAUGAUGUUAGACACCCUUAA